CCUACGGGUGGCAGCAGUGAGGAAUAUUGGUCAAUGGGCGGAAGCCUGAACCAGCCAAGUCGCGUGAGGGAUUAAGGCCCUGCGGGUCGUAAACCUCUUUUGCCGGGGAGCAGUGGUCCGGACGUGUCCGGGCCGGGAGAGUACCCGGAGAAAAAGCAUCGGCUAACUCCGUGCCAGCAGCCGCGGUAAUACGGAGGAUGCGAGCGUUAUCCGGAUUUAUUGGGUUUAAAGGGUGCGUAGGCGGGCAUUUAAGCCGGCGGUCAAAUGUCGGGGCUCAACCCCGGCCUGCCGUCGGAACUGGGUGCCUUGAGUGCACACAGGGAUGCCGGAAUUCAUGGUGUAGCGGUGAAAUGCUUAGAUAUCAUGAAGAACUCCGAUCGCGAAGGCAAGUGUCCGGGGUGCAACUGACGCUGAGGCUCGAAAGUGCGGGUAUCAAACAGGAUUAGAUACCCUAGUAGUC
rnacentral:rRNA from 1 species